rnacentral:rRNA from 1 species
GUGUUCAUUCGGGCAGCACCCUGGCACCAUAACAGCCCCAGUCCAGAAGAUAAGCAGGUUCAGGCCUGACUGGCGCUUGGAUGGGGGACCACCUGGGGAGACCGGGAGCUGGAGACU